rnacentral:rRNA from 1 species
GACGAACGCUGGCGGCGUGCCUAAUACAUGCAAGUCGAACGCAGUGGGGACGGGUGAUUAACACGUGGGUAACCUCCCAUCAGAGGGGAUAACCCUUGGACACAGGUGCUAAACCGAUACUGAUGGAUGAACCCGCAGUGCAUUAGCUAGUUGGUGAGGUAACGGCUCACCAAGGCCACGAUGCAUAGCCGAGCUGAGAGGGUGAUCGGCCACACUGGGACUGAGACACGGCCCAGACUCCUACGGGAGGCAGCAGUGGGGAAUCUUUGGCAAUGGACGAAAGUCUGACCCAGCAACGCCGCGUGAAUGAAGAAGGUUUUCGGAUCGUAAAACACUUUUGUUAGGGAGGCGUUAUCUAAACAAAAAGCCACGGCUAACUACGUGCCAGCAGCCGCGGUAAUAC